AGACUCUUAGCUGAACGCGGAGCUGCGGCGGCUAUGCUGUGGAGCGGCUGCCGGCGUUUCGGGGCGCGCCUCGGCUGCCUGCCCGGCGGUCUCCGGGUCCUCGUCCAGACCGGCCACCGGAGCUUGACCUCCUGCAUCGACCCUUCCAUGGGACUUAAUGAAGAGCAGAAAGAAUUUCAAAAAGUGGCCUUUGACUUUGCUGCCCGAGAGAUGGCUCCAAAUAUGGCAGAGUGGGACCAGAAGCAUGUGUGCCUGGAUGAUUGAUAGCUUCGGAAAUGGGGAACAGAGGCACAAAUUUUGCCCACCGCUCUGUACCAUGGAGAAGUUUGCUUCCUACUGCCUCACUGAACCAGGAAGUGGGAGUGAUGCUGCCUCUCUUCUGACCUCCGCUAAGAAACAGGGAGAUCAUUACAUCCUCAAUGGCUCCAAGGCCUUCAUCAGUGGUGCUGGUGAGUCAGACGUCUAUGUGGUCAUGUGCCGAACAGGAGGGCCAGGCCCCAAGGGCAUCUCAUGCAUAGUUGUUGAGAAGGGGACCCCUGGCCUCAGCUUUGGCAAGAAGGAGAAAAAGGUGAGUGGCUGUUGGACAGGAAACAAUUUAGGUUAUGAGACUCUGCCACCUGCCAGCCCAACUCCUGCUCUAUUUCAGAAAACAGGUUUGCAUACUUGCUAACCUACCUUUGAAGCAGUUGCUUCUAUUAGGAUUUUCAACAGGAGCAUAUGAAAUACAACAGGGCAUUAUUAAACACUAGGCCUCUGGGGAAAGUGACAAUGUUUGCCAGUAAAUUCUUCAAGCCACCUGUGAGUGUUCUGACCUCUCCUGCCUCUGCUUUUGGCCUGUGUUCCUCAUCCAGCUGCUUACGUUGGUGCACUUUGUUGCUCCAGGAAGAGACGCUUAGAGAAGACCUGGUGUUGGCCACAAGUCUCAGUAAUGGAAGGCAUGUGGUCCCUUUUUCUUCUUUGAUUAAAAAUAAAGUAAAACUCAUUGGAGAUGAUUGUGGGUAUUUCAGCAACCUAAGAAGGACACUUAGGUACUGUAAGUAAUUUGAAAAGUAAGAUACUUCUAGGAUUAAGAGCCGCCAUGGCCAGGGCAUGAACAGGAGACCUGUGAUCAUGUAACCGUAAUUGGUAAUAAGGGCUCAAGACCCAUUCAGAUUUUUUAGACCAGAUGCUCAAAGCAGUCAUCUCUCUCUAGUUUGUACUGUUAUGGGGGGACUUUGUGAGAGAAGGCAGGUAAUGAAAUGACCCCUAAGUGUACCUCUUUCUCACAGCUCCUCGGGUUUCUGUAUUUUCCUACAGGAUCCUUCCUGAUCCUCUGUAACUGCAAGGCACUAUGCAUUUUAGCAUCCCCUUCUCUUUGGUAACACAGCAACCAUUUCCUAGGCUUCUACUGUGUGUGAAGCCCAUGCUAACUCCUGGGCAGGAAGACCUUCAGUAAAA
rnacentral:sRNA from 1 species